GGCACUAUAGCCAAGUGGUUAAGGCGACAGAUUAGAAUAGAACGUAAAUCCUAUCUGUUACUCUCUGAGUGCGCAGGUUCAAAUCCUGCUGGUGUCG